rnacentral:rRNA from 1 species
CAGCGAAUCUUCCGCAAUGGGCGAAAGCCUGACGGAGCGAUGCCGCGUGUGGGAUGAAGCGUCUUUGACGUGUAAACCACUGUUAGGAGAUCGAAACACUGAUCAUCUCCAGAGAAAGGGGCGACUAACUCUGUGCCAGCAGUCGCGGUAAGACAGAGGCCCCGAGCGUUAGUCGGAAUCACUGGGCUUAAAGGGUGCGUAGGCUGGCCUGUAAGUGUCGAGUGAAAUCCCACCGCUCAACGGUGGAACUGCUCGGCAAACUGCGGGUCUUGAGGAAGCUAGAGGUCGCUGGAACGCAUGGUGGAGCGGUGGAAUGCGUAGAGAUCAUGCGGAACGCCGAUGGUGAAGACAGGCGACUGGGGCUUUCCUGACGCUGAGGCACGAAAGCGUGGGGAGCAAA